CUCCUUUUGUAUUAGUACAUGAAUUAUAAAUAAAUAAAAGUUAUUUUGGUAUUUUUUCAUCACAAAUGUUUCAUCUUCUAAUGAACUCCUGUGUUGUGGUGAAGUCCUUAGGACUAUUUAGACUCAACAAAGGAGGAUUUGUCGUUUAGUCCUUAAACAUGUUCGCGACCAAAUGAUACAUUAUUACCAAGGACGACAAUAUUUAUCGAGCAUAGGUCGUUGUGUGCCAUAUGGGUUGGUUGUCCUCAUAACCAAAGAGUGUGGAGACACUGGUAUGGCAUACAGGUGAGAUAUAAUGGUACAUCUACACUGAACGUGACCAACUCCGGAGCUAUUUCUGCUGUCAAGAUUUGCUCCGAUGGGAUAUGGGUAUAAAUAUCCCUCCGACCUGAGACCGCCACGGUGACUUGCAAGUAACUCACUGCACUUAGGCACUGGACUACCUGAAUUUCUAAUUCAGUGACGGAAGGUUGCUGGGUGUAGUCAAGUACUUGACUUGUCGGUGCGUGUGU
rnacentral:lncRNA from 1 species